CUCACAGCUCAUGCACCCUGGGGCAAGCCAGCUGCUAUGUCACCAGGACACUCGAGCAGAUGCUGAAAUGGCAAGUCCAAAAAGCAAGAAGAUUUCUUAUGAAAUGCAAACAGUGGGGAACCAUUAAUUUUAAAGGUCUACCCAUUUCCCAAGGAGCCAAGAAGCCAUGCCUAGUCUUGAGGGUUUAAUCUACGUACAUACAGGGGAAAGAUCUCUCCUAACCUACACCACUCACUGUCCUCCCAAGAGGCUUCACGCGCCUUUCUUUUGAAAACUCGCAUUUUCCAUAGUUGCAAAAAUAACAAAUGCUCAGUGUACAAAACUAGGAAUACUUGAAAAAGCACAAAGAAAAUGAAAAAAUAAACACCGUAAUCCCA